rnacentral:rRNA from 1 species
GUCUACAGCCAUACCACCCUGAAUGUACCCUAUCUUGUCUGAUCUUGGAAGCUAAGCAGGGUUGGGCCUGGUUAGUACUUGGAUGGGAGAGUUUUGCAGGGUACAGUAUUCU